rnacentral:rRNA from 1 species
AGGACGAACGCUGGCGGCGUGCUUAACACAUGCAAGUCGAGCGGAAAGGCCCUUCGGGGUACUCGAGCGGCGAACGGGUGAGUAACACGUGAGUAACCUGCCCCUAGCUCUGGGAUAGCGUCCGGGAAACCGGGAUUAAAUACCAGAUACGACCACUUUAGACAUCUGUCGUGGUGGAAAGGAUUCCGGCUAGGGAUGGGCUCGCGGCCUAUCAGCUUGUUGGUGGGGUAACGGCCUACCGAAGGCGACGAC